GUGCUCACUUCGGCAGCACAUAUACUAAAAUUGGAACGAUACAGAGAAGAUUAGCGUGGCCCCUGCACAAGGGUGACGUGCAAAUUUGUGAAGUGUUCCAUAUUUUA
ensembl:snRNA U6 U6 spliceosomal RNA